rnacentral:rRNA from 1 species
AUGGGAAUUUCACAGAGAAUUAACGGCCGGGUUAAUAAAUCCCCACGAUCGACCUCCACGAAUGGCGAGUGCGAGCCACAUAGAGAAUUGGUUGGAUAUUGUAUACCACGGUUAUGUGAUGGACUACGUACCGACGAAGUGGCCCCGGAGCUCGACGACGGCGCCCUCCCAGCCGCCGUAGGGCGCGCCGGGCGCCGGCAGCCCGGCCUGCCUCCGGAAGCUCCAGACCAGCCGGUCCACGUCCAGGAGCAGCAGGUACUCGAGGUUGGUCUGCUGCGCCCGCCCGUACACCUCGUCGCCGGGGUCCAGCCGCACGUCGUGCAGCGACGCCUCCACCAGGAACGACGACGACGAGGGCGUUGCCCCGGCCUGCGCCGCCGAGGAGCCGACGCCGCCCUUGAGCGUCCGGUACAGCAUCGCCCAGUCGAACUCCUCCGCCGCCGCCGCCGCCGUUGUGCUGCCGGCGAGGGGGAGGAGGUCCAUCCACGCGGACUCGUCGGUGGGGUUGAGGUGGUCGUGGAACAGCUCCCGCCACCGCCACUCCUCCGCCCCCGGCGUGCUCUGCAACCGCGCCCGCACCGUGUGCGACGACAGCUGCGUCGGCACGUUCGUGCACUCCUUGGCCACCACCGUCACCACCGCCACGGACGACAACAGCAGCACCAAUGCCACCGCCGUCGCCGUCGCCAUGGCCGGCGGCGGCGCCGAGGCCAUUGCCAGGAUAAGGCACCCCCCUGGCUCAGCGACCACCAGUCCACUCCACAACCACUACCCAAACAAGCACACACGCAGACGCAAACGGAGCGGCGGUGUGGCUGUGGGCAGAAACCUCAAGAGUCCCGGAGGCUUUUAUCGCCGCGCCCGUGCGAGAGCGACCACGGUCCACAGGAAAAAGACAGCGUUUAA